CAGUGAAACCAUCUGGGCCUGGAGUAAAGGUGUUUGGCAUUGUUACUGUGGUCACUGAUGAGGAGGUAGAGGGAGGAUUCACAGCCAAGUUGCCAUGAUCUUGUCGUUAUGGAGACAGACAUGCUGGGCUUCAUCACAAGGCUGUUUUUCUCCAGGUAUGAUGUUGCUGUGGAAACACAAAGCCCAAAUCCUCAAAGAACACUCUGUUCUAGUCCCAGCUGCUGUAUCCAUCUGCGUUGUAUCUCAUUAGCAGAAGAGCCUAGUGAGAUAGGAGUUGCAUCUCUGCUCAUCCAGAUCUCUAGAGAAGGGAUCUACCCCUGGACUUUUUCCUGGAAAACUCUUCACGAAGCCAUAGGUAUGGAUGGAAGAAAAUGCACCAGUCCAAUAGCAGUAGGAGCCUGGGUAUUCUAUGCAUUUGAGUAUCUCACAUCUUCUGGAUCUGCCUAAACCCAGUCGCCAAGUACCACAGAUAU
rnacentral:lncRNA from 10 species